rnacentral:lncRNA from 1 species
AUUAAUGUUGCAAACCAGUUACCCAAACGUUCUAGUAGACAAAGAGAAAUUGAGAUCAACCUCUUAAUUUAUUCACAAGCUUCUCUGGAGUGAUCUGAGCAAGAAAUGGAAUGUUCUGGAAACUUUCACGAUCAGAUUCCCAGGAUGGCAGCCCUUGAUCUGACUCAGGUGUGUGGUCUGCUUUCUUGGGACCCAUCCUGUCUUCACAAGAGGAAAACCAAGGAGGCACGGAUGGUGGCUGAGUUACUGAUGGGUUCUUCUCAGGGUCUGAAUCAUGCAAACCCCAUCUCAACUCUCCUUUGGAAGGAGCAGAAGAGCUGAGGAAAAGAGCAAGAAGAAUUCUGCAGAGUGAGUUCAUGGCAGGUACAGUUUUAUGAAGAGCAAUGCUGGUCUGGGAAAGAGGGCCUUUGGAAAUGUCACUCUGCAAACUGAAAGGUAAAUUCUUUUUUCUGAGAAGACUGAGGCCAUUUAAUAUUAUUAUCUUUUGUUUGUUUUUGAGGGGGAAGGUUUAUAUGUUUACUUAUGUUAGAGGAGGUACUGGGGAUUGAACACAGGACCUCAUGCAUGUUAAGCAUGCACUCUACCACUUGAGUUGUACUCUCCUCCCACAAAGACUGAGGCCAUUUGGCUUCUGAGUUGCCUCAGGAACUUUCAAUUCCCAUUUACCUAUAAAUUCCAUUGAUCUUCUCAACCUCACAAAGAUCCAUCCAGCUUAUUUGAAAAUUUCAUUAUUUACAGGCAGCCCCCUUCAUGAUUCUUUCAUAUAUUGCUUUCCUGAUUCUGUCAUCUUUUUGUUUACCAUCAGCUUUACUUUUCCAGAGUAUUAUAAUGCAGUAAAUUACCUACAGUUUUGAAACCACAUCCUUAUCAUUGUCAAACUCCUAACACAAUCAGACUUUGUGGUCUAUCUUUCCUUUUGUUUCAUCAUUUUUAUUAUGUUUCCUUC